rnacentral:rRNA from 1 species
UACGUAGGGAGCUAGCGUUGUCCGGAAUCAUUGGGCGUAAAGCGCGCGUAGGCGGCCCGGUAAGUCCGCUGUGAAAGUCAAAGGCUCAACCUUUGAAUGUCAGCGGAUACUGCCGGGCUAGAGUCCGGAAGAGGCGAGUGGAACUCCUGGUGUAGCGGUGGAAUGCGCAGAUAUCAGGAGGAACACCAACGGCGAAGGCAGCUCGCUGGGACGGUACUGACGCUGAGGCGCGAAAGCGUGGGGAGCGAACAGG